UCUCAAAGGUCUGAUGGUACCGUCC
rnacentral:piRNA from 1 species